ensembl:lncRNA
AUGCCUGCUAUAAAGGGCUGAGGAGGAACUUCUUCACUUCAAUCAAAUCUGGAAACAAAAAAGAGCCUCCAACCAUCCUUCUUCUGACCUCAGUGGGUAUCCUGCCUUUGCAAGGUACCAUCAUGUCUUAAAUUGAGUAAGGCACUGAGAGAUCUACAUGGCUUGGCAGCUGUUCCUUCUGUCUCUCCAACUCAACCCACCUUACUGAGUUGCUCCUGUUUCUACUUCUGUUAGUGAAUGAGGGAUCAGUACUUUGCCCCCACAGUUUCUUCAGGAGUACCUUGUCCUAAAACAAAACCAAAUCUGGAAGGAGUAGAAUUUUCUGCUGGGACUUGGUAACAUUUCAUGGACAAGGAGGAUGUGACUCAUGCUGCUCAUGACUGCUGGAACCUAUAACCUCCUUUUCUCUUGGACUGAUACAAUGAUCUUCACUUUGAAAGAAGAAACAGAGACAUUUUUAACAGCAGAGAGACUUCACAAGUACUGAAUGAUAAAGGAUCAAGUUUUUGUUUGCUUGAUGGAAGAAAUCAGGCUUUAAUAAACACAGGAGAUGCUGAAAUAUGUCUGAGAAAGCUGGUGACUGUUAUCACCAGUAAACGGAUGUUGAAAACCCAUCUCUGGCCCACCAGUGAAAAUAAUGACUCCUGCUAUUUUGGGUUCUGUGGAGCUAAGAUGAAGUAUCAAAAAAAGAUUCCGAUGUUUUCUGAUACCAUCGUGCUCCUUGGCAUAGGAGGGAUGAAUGGAACAGAAGCUCAUAUGUGGAAGAUGACUGAUUUUUGUAGCAUUGCAGGCAGGAGCUGCCAGCAGGGAAGCUAAUACAUGAGGGGCUGAGGAGUGAGUGCUUGAGGAGGAAACCAUCUAGAUCUCUUAGACAGCUCAUUCCUCACUGCGCCCCCACAGAACUUGACCACACCACUCAAGGAUGGACUCUAUAACUGUUUCCGUAAGCAAGAAUGCCUGCCAUGUGACUACAGAAGAAUCCAAGCAGCUGAGUUAAAAUUUUCAUUAUUUUUAAACAGUUGCAUAAGCCAUAAGUACUUUUCUUCUGGACUCCUGGACCUGAUGGUUUGCAGUCACAGUGCUGGAUGGACAGUUACUUGCUGCAGGAUCUUCCAGAGGCUCCACUGAUAUUAUCACAUCUGAAAGCACAGCACCUUAUCCUUAACAUUCUCCAAUUCUGCCCAAUUUCAAAAUGAAUAGUUGGAGAGUUUCUGAGCUUCUCCUUUCUUUUUGCUCAAGAAACGUUAUAGGAAAUGAAAUAUAAAAUCAUAUCAGCAUCUAAUCAAAUUCCCAGCCCCUUUUCAUUUUCAAAGCAUUCCCUACACUUAGCUGCGCAGUCUUGCUGAGAUAAAAUGUGGGCUGUGCAACUCCAUCUCUCUGUGGGACAUUAUUCUAUUGCUUUGAUGAUAGCCUUCAGAGCUUCUAUCGCUACCCCAUGACUUAAAAUACAUUUGCUGCAGGGUCAGGCUCCCAUCUGCUUUGCUCUUGGCAGCUGAAGUCAGCUUACUACAGAAACAAAGGUGGGGGGACGAAACAGGAAAGGAAAGCAUAAUGGUUAAAUGUUUUGUCCUUUCUGUUAGAUGUGAGGUCAUUUGCUGAAUAGGCAGCAAAACUGUCCCUGUUCUCUGCAUGGAUGCCAACAUGGGCCAACUGGGGAAGAAACAUAUAGUUCACAGAGAAGUCACUUCUUGUUCUUCUGAAAAGCAAAAUGUUUACACUGCAGGAGAAAUAGAUUUGCCAGAAGUUGGAGCCAUUCAAUGAAGAAAUUAAUUUAAACUAAGACUGCAUUUUCCAGUUUUGAUAAAGACUUUUCAACCUGCUACUUGCUUCAGCUACUUCUUGAAAACAAAACUAAACUAACACUGAUUACUGCAGUGAUGUUUUAAAGAUCUAGAAAUGAGAACUUAUCUCCCUUUUAUAUAGGAGAUGCAUUUCAUUUUUACAUAUCAGUUAAAUGUACCCUAUAUUCCUACAUUUUAUUCAAAAUCAUGUCAACUUGUGACCCAAGCACUGAUAGCUUAGCACAUGUAAAUUCCCUGGAAUUAUGGAUGUAUUUUUGUUUAUGCUGCUCGUUUCUUACUCCUAGCUGGAGAAAGUCACCUAGAACUUAGCAUUACCUUUGAGUUUCUUGGCUCCCACUAAAAG